rnacentral:rRNA from 1 species
AACGAACGCUGGCGGCAGGCUUAACACAUGCAAGUCGAGCGCCCCGCAAGGGGAGCGGCAGACGGGUGAGUAACGCGUGGGAACGUACCCUUUGCUACGGAAUAGCUCCGGGAGACUGGAAUUAAUACCGUAUGUGCCCUACGGGGGAAAGAUUUAUCGGCAAAGGAUCGGCCCGCGUUGGAUUAGCUAGUUGGUGGGGUAAAGGCCUACCAAGGCGACGAUCCAUAGCUGGUCUGAGAGGAUGAUCAGCCACAUUGGGACUGAGACACGGCCCAAACUCCUACGGGAGGCAGCAGUGGGGAAUAUUGGACAAUGGGCGCAAGCCUGAUCCAGCCAUGCCGCGUGAGUGAUGAAGGCCUUAGGGUUGUAAAGCUCUUUCACCGGAGAAGAUAAUGACGGUAUCCGGAGAAGAAGCCCCGGCUAACUUCGUGCCAGCAGCCGCGGUAAUAC